rnacentral:rRNA from 1 species
UACGUAGGGCGCAAGCGUUGUCCGGAAUUAUUGGGCGUAAAGAGCUCGUAGGCGGCUUGUCACGUCGGAUGUGAAAGCCCGGGGCUUAACCCCGGGUCUGCAUUCGAUACGGGCAGGCUAGAGUGUGGUAGGGGAGAUCGGAAUUCCUGGUGUAGCGGUGAAAUGCGCAGAUAUCAGGAGGAACACCGGUGGCGAAGGCGGAUCUCUGGGCCGAUACUGACGCUGAGGAGCGAAAGCGUGGGGAGCGAACAGG